CAACGUCAAAGUAGCAACUGAACUUAAUCAGAAUACAUCAGAAUAUUGUCUAUUGGUACACAAUGGACGCAAACACAUUACAGUGUAUACUUCGCAGCAAGUAUAACAAUCGAUGAAAAGCUUCAGGCCGAUGGCAUAUUCGUGGCACUCCUCGGUGGCACCGUUGAAGCCAUUGGUCUGUACGGAAUCGGGAUUAGUGAGAGGUGCGUCGGCGUCGCCAUCAAUCUCCGCGGACCGCAUAUCGACUACGACCUGAUGUCUCUCACACCGAUAGGUUUGCUCGAUGUCAAGUACAAAAACGCCAGCAGGAUAAUAACCAUCUCCAGUCAGUUCAAAGCCAAACAGGCCUUUCAGCAAUGCAGCAGUACCAAGGCUGCCGCAAUAAGGGAUGAUUUCACCAACGCCAUUGAUUGCCUCAUCUAAAUCCGGCGGAGACAUUUGGUGCAGCGCGUCACUUACCACUUCACCAUCAUCAGGCGCCUUAGUGGAUAAAGAAUAUGAGAGGAACUCUCAGCGGGGCUUCCCAGGCGGGACCCUUAUCAUUUACAGGUGUCUGUCUCCGCAAAGGUCUCCCACAGCGGAUGGAAGUUUCAGCUACAUCUCUUUGCCCGAUAUUGUAUGUGGACCAACCGAUGCCAAGCACGCGGCGUGCCGUCAGCAUGUUAAGAAGGGAGGCGGAAAACUACAACGGGCGAGGCAUGGUCAGGGGUGAUAACCCCAAAAAAGGUUAGGGUAAGGGUUAGGGUUAGGGGUCGGGUUAGGUUUAGGGUUGGGUUUAGGCUAACCCAAACCCUAACCCGACACCUAACACAAGUCCUAACCCUAACCCUAACCCUCUAACCCCCCUUGCGCAAUACCAUACCAUGCCUCGCCUGUUGUCGUUUCCCGCCUCCCUGUUAAGAAAGGUCACAGUUUGGACUGUGUCGACGUGUCAUUUGACAGCUUCAUCAACUAUAAUGAUACCAACCGAAAUGCAAUAACAGGUAGACCAUACUGCUCACGCUACUGUUAUUGGGGAAAUUGGUGGUAAACUAACCAACGAGCUACGGACUGAUGUGUCAAGCAAACCUUCUAGUCUAGCCGAGAGGUUCCUGCGCUUUUCUACUUGCUGCAGAAGCAAGCGUUGAACGUUUUUUAAAUUGAUGUUUUUUACUUGAGAAAUUUCACAUAAUUGUUUGGUGCAAUAAAUUUUUUGCAUAAACAAAGUCAA